UACAAUCCGGCUUCACUGAAAUAUUGUGGUGCACAAUAAUUGUAACAAACAUGAACCGUGCUUUUAUUGCUGUUCUUGCCAUUUUGAUGGUUACGUGUGCUUUCGUUUCGGCAGAUGAGGAAGCGCAUAGUUGGUUGUCUUCCCUGUUUCCAAAGCCACCAAAGCAUCAUUCUAUAGAAUACAAGACAAGCCGUAACAACUCGAGCUCUCAGAGCAGCAGCAGCAGCCAUCACAUUAAAAUCACCCAUAAUGGCAAACAGCCAGAAAAGAAAUAAAGAUAUUCCCUGUAGCAGCGAUGUUUCGUUCACCUACACAAUUAAAUAACUCGUGGCUUACACCUGUGUUCAUCUACUAAACAUGUGGGAUUUCAUUCUUAAAUAAUCUAGUAUCAGACAAUAUUAAAAAAUAAAACGUAAAUAUUCAA